rnacentral:rRNA from 1 species
UACGUAGGGUUCGAGCGUUGUCCGGAAUUAUUGGGCGUAAAGGGCUCGUAGGCGGUUCGUCACGUCGGGAGUGAAAACUCGGAGCUUAACUCCGAGCCUGCUUCCGAUACGGGCAGACUAGAGGUAGGCAGGGGAGAGCGGAACUCCUGGUGUAGCGGUGGAAUGCGCAGAUAUCAGGAAGAACACCGGUGGCGAAGGCGGCUCUCUGGGCCUGUACUGACGCUGAGGUGCGAAAGCGUGGGGAGCAAACAGG